GAGACCCACGCCAACAGUUGCCAGCAUGUCCUCCGGGAUGGUGGGGACACUGUUGGGACCGCCUCUGCUAAAGAGGAGGAAGGAAUGGGCAACGGUAGGUCAGCAUGCCCCGAAUUAUCCGGGCUACACGCGGGCUACAAUGGUCAGGACAAUGGGUAUCGACACCGAGAGGUGAAGGCAAUCUCUUAAACCUGUCCUUAGUUCGGAUUGUGGGCUGCAACUCGCCCACACGAAGCUGGAAUCCGUAGUAAUCGCGUCUCAAAAUGGCGCGGUGAAUAU
rnacentral:rRNA from 1 species